UACAGAGGGGGCAAGCGUUGUUCGGAAUUACUGGGCGUAAAGGGCGCGUAGGCGGCCUGUUAAGUCGAACGUGAAAUCCCCGGGCUCAACCCGGGAACUGCGUCCGAUACUGGCAGGCUUGAAUCCGGGAGAGGGAUGCGGAAUUCCAGGUGUAGCGGUGAAAUGCGUAGAUAUCUGGAGGAACACCGGUGGCGAAGGCGGCAUCCUGGACCGGCAUUGACGCCGAGGCGCGAAAGCCAGGGGAGCAAACGGG
rnacentral:rRNA from 1 species